AACGAACGCUGGCGGCGUGCCUAAAACAUGCAAGUCGAACGGGGUCCAUCCUUCGGGAGAAGACCUAGUGGCGAACGGGUGAGUAACACGUGAGAAACCUGCCUCGAAGUCUGGGAUAAGCCAGGGAAACUUGGUCUAAUACCGGAUGCCCUUACAUUUUCUUCUGUCUAUGUAAGGAAAGUUUUUCGCUUCGAGAGGGUCUCGCGUCCUAUCAGCUUGUUGGUGGGGUAACGGCCUACCAAGGCAACGACGGGUAGCUGGUCUGAGAGGAUGGUCAGCCACACUGGGACUGAGACACGGCCCAGACUCCUACGGGAGGCAGCAGUUAGGAAUCUUGCGCAAUGGGCGAAAGCCUGACGCAGCAACGCCGCGUGAGGGAUGAAGGCUCUCGGGUUGUAAACCUCUUUCAGCAGGAACGAAAUUGACGGUACCUGCAGAAGAAGCACCGGCCAACUACGUGCCAGCAGCCGCCGUAAAAC
rnacentral:rRNA from 1 species